rfam:Ictidomys tridecemlineatus contig108802, whole genome shotgun sequence.
AGGGUUGUAGCUCAGUGGGAGAUCGCUUGCCUAGUAUGUAAGAGGCACUGGGUUCAAUUCUCAGCACCACAU